UGGGGAAUAUUGCACAAUGGAGGAAACUCUGAUGCAGCGACGCCGCGUGAGUGAAGAAGGUCUUCGGAUCGUAAAACUCUGUCCUUGGUGACGAAAAAAAUGACGGUAGCCAAGGAGGAAGCCCCGGCUAACUACGUGCCAGCAGCCGCGGUAAUACGUAGGGGGCGAGCGUUGUCCGGAUUUACUGGGCGUAAAGGGUGAGUAGGCGGUAAUAUGUGUCAGAUGUAAAAGGCUAUGGCUUAACCAUAGUUGGCAUUUGAAACUGUAUUACUUGAGUGCAGGAGAGGUAAGUGGAAUUCCUAGUGUAGCGGUGAAAUGCGUAGAUAUUAGGAGGAACACCAGUGGCGAAGGCGACUUACUGGACUGUAACUGACGCUGAGUCACGAAAGCGUGGGUAGCAAACA
rnacentral:rRNA from 1 species